UACAGAGGGGGCAAGCGUUGUCCGGAAUUAUUGGGCGUAAAGAGCUCGUAGGCGGUUUGUCGCGUCUGCUGUGAAAACUCGGGGCUUAACCCCGGGCCUGCAGUGGGUACGGGCAGACUAGAGUGCGGUAGGGGAGACUGGAAUUCCUGGUGUAGCGGUGAAAUGCGCAGAUAUCAGGAGGAACACCGGUGGCGAAGGCGGGUCUCUGGGCCGUAACUGACGCUGAGGAGCGAAAGCAUGGGGAGCGAACAGG
rnacentral:rRNA from 1 species